rnacentral:RNase_P_RNA from 2 species
CGAUCUGGAUAAUUGCUGGUACAUAAGUAUUAGAGGAAAGUCCAUGCUCGCACUUGCUGCGAUGCAAGUAGUGAUUGCGCUAGUGGAAAAAAUAACACUAGGUAUAGAGGAGUCUAUAACGGCGAAGAAAGACCUAAGUCGAAAGAUAUGGUUAAUCUUCUGAAAGUGCCACAGUGACGAAGUUAAGGGGAAACUCUUAAGUGGAACGUUGGUAAACCCCGCAAGCGAGAAACCUAAAUUUGGUAAGGGAAACGGCAAUAGAGAAAUGAAUUUAGCGCCGUAUGUGUUCACACAUAGAUAAAUAAUUAUCCGCGACAGAACAUGGCUUACAGGA